UACAGAGGUCCCAAGCGUUGUUCGGAUUCAUUGGGCGUAAAGGGUGCGUAGGCGGCUGUGUAAGUUGGGCGUGAAAUCCUGGGGCUUAACCUCAGAAUUGCGUUCAAUACUGCAUUGCUAGGGCGCUGUAGAGGAGAUUGGAAUUUACGGUGUAGCAGUGAAAUGCGUAGAUAUCGUAAGGAAGACCAGUGGCGAAAGCGAAUCUCUGGGCAGCAGCCGACGCUGAGGCACGAAGGCCAGGGGAGCAAACGGG
rnacentral:rRNA from 1 species